GUUAUUUGAUUUGUAGGAAGGCUGAGAGGGGUUAGUAUUUUAUGAUUGCUGUUAGCUUGCUACAUCAUUGUCUAGAAACAGAUUUGCGUUUUAAGUAUAUUUUCUCAUAUAUUGUAUUUUACUUCAGAAGAUAUAGUUGUGGUUUGGCAAAAAUCAUGAGUGGUUUGCAAAUUGUAAGUGUUUCGAAUUUUGAUCAUAUAUAGUUUGCCACAUAAUUAAAAAGAUCCAUUCCCGAAUAAAUAAUACCUUGAUAUAUAUACUCCUCUUAACACGUACAGUGCAACCUCAGAAAAAGAAUAAUAGUAUAAUGUAAUAUGAAGAGUCAUUACUGGCUUCCAAAUGAGAUGUUUCUAUUAAGAGUUAAGACAAUUUAUUUCUCUAGUAUUAUAUGUUAUUGGGAAUAGUUGACAAAUGAGAACAGCAAAAGUCUCAUUCUUCUUUAAUUAGACAAGAAGAAGAAUGCAAAAGUUAAUUAGACAAUGAAGAGUUAACAGUCAGAGAAUGCAAGAUAUUAAAAUUAUAGAACCUCGAAAGAAUAUUCUGAGUGUUACUAAAAUUCAUUAUAUUUUUGUGUGUUUAAUCUUCUACAGCUAAAAUGAUAUCUCUCUUCAAGAUGUUUGCUAGUGGACCUAUAGGCUUUGGAAAACAAUGGUUUUCCUGGAUUCAUUUGGAUGACAUUGUUAAUUUAAUAUAUGAAGCACCGAUAAAUCCCUCCUAUGAAGGAUAAUGUUGAGGAUGAUAAUGAAGAUUAAGCUGAUUAUUAUUGUGGUUUAUUGGCUAUAAGAUAGAGUAGUGUUGGAAAUGGAUACAUGUAUGGUUGACUACUUAUGACUUUUAUUAGAAGAUACUUAUGCAGGAUAUGUUUCUUGUAGAGUAUUAGUAGUAAAUUCUAAGUGGUAUCAUGGUUAUUUUGAUAUGGCUAUGCUUACUUUAGUGUGAGAUGUAUGAAUACUCACAAUUAACUUCAUUCUAGUACUUUUGGAUCAUUAUUAUAAAUA